CAUAUAUGUAACAUAUAGUCAUAUAUAACAAUAUAUAUUUUUAUAUACCCUAUUAUAACCAGUUCUUUGUGUAAACAUGCUGGGCUUCAGAAUUAGCUUAGUCACUAAGCAAAUCUUGCAUAUUAAAUACUUUUAAGUAAUGGGUGAAGGUGCUUCCCUCACUAAAUGUGGAAAACAAAUCAAGGCCAACUAAAUGGAGUAAUAACAAAAGUAAAACAAUCAAUGUGAAUUUCACAGUGCUGAUCAUACCUCAUACAGUAAAGAUAAUGAUUUUGUGCUUUAGAGUUUCUCUGUUGGCAUAACCACUGUAUUAUCAGCCUAAGGAUUCCCCAGGGAUGAGAAAACUUAAGACUGAUAUAUUAGAAUAGUUAGAAAAGAGCAACACGUUUAAACAAUGAGCCAGGUGCUAAUGUAUUCACCUAUGCAGAAAACUGGGGAGGUAGAGCUAUGGAUAGGCAAUGGGGGAGGUGAAGAGAGGGAAUCUUGGGUAAUUUCCUUCUAGAGGUGAAACAUUUCAGAAAAUUGUUCAGAUUAUAAAAUUAAAGCUGUUUAGAACCAAGCAUCAAAUUUGAGUAGCACUAUGAAAACUGACCUCGAAUGACAGAGAAAACAUUUUAUUAUCUCUAGAACACAUUUUCACAGUGACAUAAUGAAUUAUCUUUUUUAAAUGAUUUUUUGUAUUGGAUGUUUAUCACAGUCCUAACAGAAUGAAUCCAGGAACCACUGAUAUAUGCUAUCAACAAACAUUAGAUUAUGAACAUCAAAGAAUUCCAGAAACUUAAUAACACAGUUUUAGUCUAUUUUCUUUGAGGACAAUUGCUGUUUUGCAUCUCCAUCACAAGACACCAAAGAAAUAUGUACUUUGGCUCAUUGGCCCCCUGGAGCACUGAUAGUACCCUACAAGCUGACACUGGUGCAAGUAUUAAAAAAUCUUCAAUCAUAUAACUCCAAGCCAUUCAUAUUAAUGUGCCUGCGUCAAAUUACCCUUUCUAUUCUUCAGGAAGAAGAAAGACCAUAAAAUGCUCUCUGAAUCCAUAAGGACAACACCAUUGGCACAGACAGGAAUUUUGCUCUGAAGUGACAGCACUCCUCUUCUGAAACACGACCUAAUGACUAUAAAGGGUUUCUUUGGAAACACCAUAUUUUGUCAUUAAACUGUCUUUACCACAUCACAUGCUCCCAAACCAUUCUAUACCAAUGUUCCCAGAGAGUUAAAGAUGGCUCUGAAGAAAAACUGUCAUCUUUAAUAAAGAAAUGCAAUAGAUGUUUCUC
rnacentral:lncRNA from 1 species